UACAGAGGGGGCAAGCGUUGUUCGGAAUUACUGGGCGUAAAGGGCGCGUAGGCGGCCUUCUAAGUCGAACGUGAAAUCCCUGGGCUCAACCCAGGAACUGCGUCCGAUACUGGAAGGCUUGAAUCCGGGAGAGGGAUGCGGAAUUCCAGGUGUAGCGGUGAAAUGCGUAGAUAUCGGGAGGAACACCAGUAGCGAAGGCGGCUCGCUAGGCCGUUCCUGACGCUGAGACGCGAAAGCUAGGGGAGCGAACAGG
rnacentral:rRNA from 1 species